AGCGAACGCUGGCGGCAGGCCUAACACAUGCAAGUCGAACGAACCUUUCGGGGUUAGUGGCGGACGGGUGAGUAACACGUGGGAACGUGCCUUUAGGUUCGGAAUAACUCAGGGAAACUUGUGCUAAUACCGAAUGUGCCCUUCGGGGGAAAGAUUUAUCGCCUUUAGUGCGGCCCGCGUCUGAUUAGCUAGUUGGUUGAGGUAAUGGCUCACCAAGGCGACGAUCAGUAGCUGGUCUGAGAGGAAGAUCAGCCACAUUGGGACUGAGACACGGCCCAAAAUCCUACGGGAGGGAGCAGUGGGGAAUCUUGCGAAAUGGGCGAAAGCAUGACGCAGCCAUGACGCGUGAAUGAUGAAGGUAUUAGGAUUGUAAAAUUCUUUCAACGGGGACGAUAAUGACGGUACCCGGAGAAGAAGCCCCGGCUAACUUCGUG
rnacentral:rRNA from 1 species